rnacentral:rRNA from 1 species
CCUACGGGUGGCAGCAGUGAGGAAUAUUGGUCAAUGGCCGGAAGGCUGAACCAGCCAAGCCGCGUGAGGGAGGAAGGCGCAGAGCGUCGCAGACCUCUUUUGCCGGGGGACAAAAGGCCGGACUCGUCCGGUCCUGAGGGUACCCGGAGAAAAAGCAUCGGCUAACUCCGUGCCAGCAGCCGCGGUAAUACGGAGGAUGCGAGCGUUAUCCGGAUUCAUUGGGUUUAAAGGGUGCGCAGGCGGGCCUUUAAGCCGGCGGUGAAAUCGCGGGGCUCAACCCCGCCGAGCCGUCGGAACUGGGGGCUGAGGGUGGGGCGGAGGGAGGCGGAAGGGGCGGGGUAGCGGUGAAAGGCA